rnacentral:rRNA from 1 species
UCCAGAGGCUUCUGAUGCUGCUCGAGCGGCCGCCAGUGUGAUGGAUAUCUGCAGAAUUCGCCCCUUCUGGUUGAUCCUGCCCGAGUCAAAUGCUUGUCUCAAAGAUUAAGCCAUGCUUGUCUAACUAUAAACAAAUUUGUACUGUGAAACUGCCAAUGGCUCAUUAAAUCGAUUAUAGUUUAUUUGAUGAUGACUUGCUACCUGGAUCACUGUGGUAAUUCUAGAGCUAAUACAUGCAAUCAAGCCCCGACUUCUGGGAGGGGUGUAUUUAUUAUAUAAAAAACCAACGCGGCUCACCGCUCGUUUGGUGAUUCUUAAUAACUGCUCUAAUCGCAUGGCCUUGUGCCGGCGAUGCUUCAUUCCUAUAUCUGCCCUAUCCACUUUCGAUGGUAUGAUAAAGGCCUACCCUGGUUUCAACCGUCACCGGGGAAUGAGGUUUCUAUUCCGGAGAGGGAGCCUGAGAAACUGCUACCUCAUCCGCCGAAUGGAACAGGCGCGCAAAUUACCCAAUCCCGAUUCGGGGAGGUAGUGACAAUAAAUAACUAUAUAAGGCUCUUUCGGGUCUUAUAAUUGGAAUGAGUACCAUUUAAAUCUCUUAACGAUGAACAAUUGGAGGGCAGGUCUGGU